rnacentral:lncRNA from 1 species
AUGAUGAGAGUCGUGAAAGUUGAUGUGCUUCCCUUUUCACCAUGGCUGCCAGGAAACUCCAGAGUAAAAUUUAAUUGCAGGAUUAUGGGGAUCAUGUCAGAUAGAUAUAAGUGUGUGUGUGUGUGUGCGCACGCGCGUGUGCACGUGCUCUUAGUUGCUCAGUUCUGUCCGACUCUUUGCAACCCCAUGGACUGUAGUCCUGCAUGCUCCUCUAUCCAUGGGAUUUUCCAGGCAAGAACACUGGAGUGGGUUGCCAUUUCCUCCUCCAGGGGAUCUUACCAACCCAGGGAUCAAACCCAUAUCUCCUGCGCUGGCAGGAGAAUUCUUUACUCACUGUGCCACCUGGGAAGAUAGAUUUGGGGAAUGAUAAUUCCUCUUGCCUUUGCCCCUUUUUUUUUUCCUGUUGUCUUACUGAACUUCACGAUUAGGAUUGUAAAUUGCCUCCAGUGCUUUUUGGAAAUUCUCAGCAUAAUUAACCCAAAUCAGAGCUGGGUUGAGGACCAGGUCCCCUAAUUCUCAGCUCAAGGCUCUUCUAAAGAUAUAACACCGUGGUUAUUGGGCUUAAAAAAGAUGGCCUAAUUGGAGAUGGUGAAGGACAGGGAAGCCUGGCGUGCUGCAGUCUAUGGGGUCACGAAGAGUCAGACAUGACUGAGCAACUGAACAACAAUGGUCAAGGCUGUGAACAUCAAUGGUAUGCACUGGUAUUUAGGAUCUCUCUGGGAGUUUGUUAGAUAUGCAGAUUCCUGGCCCUCUGGGGUGAGGUGGGGGCCAAGAAGCUGCAUUUUGGACAUGUCCACAGAGGAUUCUGAUGCAGGGGUCCCCACACCACCCUCUGGGACACACAGGUCCAGAGAUUCAGGGUAGACUGGUUUUAUGUCUGGGUUGGGCAGUGGCAUAGUCUGGGUAUUCUGCACCCACACAAAGCCCCCAGUGGAGCAGUAGGUUAACACAGCAAGGGACAAGGUUGGACUGAGGGUUCCAGUGGACCUAGGUUCUAGUCUGAACUUGAUGACUUCCUAGUUAGGUGACUCUGGAAUGAGACCUGUACCUCAGUUUCCUCAUCUGUAAAAUGGGAGCACUAAACCUUGUCCUGCCAAGGUUGCCUCCCAGAGUUAGCAUGUAGAAGCCUGAAGGAGAUGUGGCAGGGGAAGCAAUUUCUAAAUAGCCAUGUGCUCUAGAAAAGGUGUCCAGGGACUUAAUUAUUAAUGAAGAGGUGGUGAGAUUGGGGGGCUGAUGAGCCUGGAAGACUGGCAAAGCUGGGGAGGGCAUUCUAGAUGGGAGAGGAGAGGGAGGAAGGCCCUAGAAGUUGGAUGGGCAAGAGGAGAACAGGCCAUGUGAUGAAACCAUGAAAAGUGGAUGCAGGCAGGCAGGAGAGAGCCAUGUGGCAAUCAGGGCACAAGAGGGUGAAGUCUUAAACCCUCAACUUUGUCACCUGGGAAAGCAGCUGGUAGAGGAGCAUCCCUGGGGAGACCAAGGGAAGGGUCCGUUUUCAGCAAGACCUCUUAGAAGGGGUUUUUUAAAUUGGUCAGCCUUUGGUGGGGACAAAAUUGGGGGGGAGAGGGCUGCCAGGGUGACAGGGACUUGAAUAUUGAUACCUCAUGCAUGCAGGAUCUAGGGGCCACUGACAUGCCAGAGUAAUUUGAUUUUCAUUUCAAAUACAGACAUCAUUGCCCC